GAUGGUUGUCCUUCUGGAAGGUUCUCCCAUCGCCACAGAGGAACUUUGGCGCUCUGUCAGAGUGACCAUCGGGUUCUUUGUCACCUCCCUGACCAAGGCCCUUCUCCCCGAUUGCUCAGUUUGGCCGGGCGGCCAGCUCUAGGAAAAGUCUUGAUGGUUCCAAACUUCUUCCAUUUAAGAAUGAUGGAAGCCACUGUGCUCUUGGAGACCUUCAAUGCUGCAGACAUUUUUUGGUAGCCUUCCCCAGAUUUGUGAUUUGACACAAUCCUGCCUCGGAGCGCUACGGACAAUCAAGGCUUGGUUUUUGCUCUGACAUGCACUGUCAACUGUGGGACCUUAUAUAGACAGGUGUGUGCCUUUACAAAUCAUGUCCAAUCAAUUGAAUUUACCACAGGUGGACUCCAAUAAAGUUGUAGAAACAUCUCAAGGACGAUCAACAGAAACAGGAUGCACUUGAGCACUUAAUUUCGAGUCUCAUAGUAAAAGGGUCUGAAUACUUAUGUAAAUAAGGUAUUUCUGUUUUUAUUUUUUAUACAUUUGCAAACAUUUCUAAAAACCUGUUUUUGCUUUGUCAUUAUGGGUUAUUGUGUGUAGAUUGAUGAGGAAAAAACUAUGUUAUCCAUUUUAGAAUAAGGCUGUAACGUAACAAAAUGUGAUAAAAGUGAAGGGGCCUGAGUACUUUCUGAAUGCACUGUAAGUAACUUCAUUUAUGUCCCUCUUAACUCCUCUGUGAAUCCUACAGCUAUUCUAUGCAGUAAUCAUGUGCCUAACCUGAGUUAUACUGUUAGCACUGAGGCGGUUUGCCCUAUUAGGAAAUGCACUGUGUGCAGCUCACCCUGCACUAUGAGCUCAAACAUAAAUAUCACUGUCAUGUCUACUUUUUGAUAAGCCUCCCAGUAAAGCAAUAAAAACAUUCCCAGGAAAGUGCUAAAAAUAGCCCACAUUAACAUAUGUAGCCUAAGAAACAAGGUUCAUGAAAUCGAUAACUUACUGGUAACAGAUAACAUUCAUAUACUAUCUCUGAAAACUCCCUUACAUAAUACCUUUGAUGAUACAUUGGUAGCAAUAUAUGGUUUCAACAUCUUCAGAAGAGACAGGAAUGCCAUCGGUGCAGGUGUUACCAUUUAUGUUCAGAGUCUCUCCAACAUAAUCCAGGGACCGUGCUCCAUUUGUGUUCACCUCCAGCAACACAGACUCAAUCGACCUCUUCAGUAAACAGGCCAGUGCCUGUUGGAAAAAUGGUCAACAUGACCGCACAGAGUACAGGCCAUAUGGAUUUUCCAAAAGCUCUCAAAAAGAGGCAGUCCGUCAACAUUAAAGGACAGCUCCAGAGUAUCGAGAUCUUCAGAUGGGCCACUGAAGCGGCACUCGGGGAUAUAAUGUGACAACAAAUGGAUGCUUUAUUAAAAGCUCUAAUCCAGAGUUGACCAAACAGUGCCAUUGCCUCCCCAUGUUUGUCCCGUCCCAUUUUAUUUUCACAUCUCGUCUUGGAUUUCGUCUUGGAUGGAUGUUG
rnacentral:lncRNA from 1 species